rnacentral:rRNA from 1 species
GGGAUAACACUUGGAAACAGGUGCUAAUACCGUAUAACACUAUUUUCCGCAUGGAAGAAAGUUGAAAGGCGCUUUUGCGUCACUGAUGGAUGGACCCGCGGUGCAUUAGCUAGUUGGUGAGGUAACGGCUCACCAAGGCCACGAUGCAUAGCCGACCUGAGAGGGUGAUCGGCCACACUGGGACUGAGACACGGCCCAGACUCCUACGGGAGGCAGCAGUAGGGAAUCUUCGGCAAUGGACGAAAGUCUGACCGAGCAACGCCGCGUGAGUGAAGAAGGUUUUCGGAUCGUAAAACUCUGUUGUUAGAGAAGAACAAGGAUGAGAGUAGAACGUUCAUCCCUUGACGGUAUCUAACCAGAAAGCCACGGCUAACUACGUGCCAGCAGCCGCGGUAAUACGUAGGUGGCAAGCGUUGUCCGGAUUUAUUGGGCGUAAAGCGAGCGCAGGCGGUUUCUUAAGUCUGAUGUGAAAGCCCCCGGCUCAGCCGGGGAGGGUCAUUGGAAACUGGGAGACUUGAGUGCAGAAGAGGAGAGUGGAAUUCCAUGUGUAGCGGUGAAAUGCGUAGAUAUAUGGAGGAACACCAGUGGCGAAGGCGGCUCUCUGGUCUGUAACUGACGCUGAGGCUCGAAAGCGUGGGGAGCGAACAGGAUUAGAUACCCUGGUAGUCCACGCCGUAAACGAUGAGUGAUAGGUGUUGGAGGGUUUCCGCCCUUCAGUGCUGCAGCA